CGGACGGGUGAGUAACGCGUGGGCAACCUGCCUUACACAGGGGGAUAACACUUAGAAAUAGGUGCUAAUACCGCAUAAGCGCACAGCUUUGCAUGAAGCAGUGUGAAAAACUCCGGUGGUGUAAGAUGGACCCGCGUCUGAUUAGCUUGUUGGCGGGGUAACGGCCCACCAAGGCGACGAUCAGUAGCCGGCCUGAGAGGGUGAACGGCCACAUUGGGACUGAGACACGGCCCAAACUCCUACGGGAGGCAGCAG
rnacentral:rRNA from 1 species